rnacentral:rRNA from 1 species
GACGAACGCUGGCGGCGUGCUUAACACAUGCAAGUCGAGCGGAAAGGCCUUUCGGGGUACUCGAGCGGCGAACGGGUGAGUAACACGUGAGUAAUCUGCCCUUCACUCUGGGAUAGCCACCGGAAACGGUGAUUAAUACCGGAUACGACCAAUCCCUGCAUGGGGUGUUGGUGGAAACUUUUUUGGGUGGGGGAUGUGCUCGCGGCCUAUCAGCUUGUUGGUGGGGUAAUGGCCUACCAAGGCUUCGACGGGUAGCCGGCCUGAGAGGGUGACCGGCCACACUGGGACUGAGACACGGCCCAGACUCCUACGGGAGGCAGCAGUGGGGAAUAUUGCGCAAUGGGCGAAAGCCUGACGCAGCGACGCAGCGUGAGGGACGACGGCCUUCGGGUUGUAAACCUCUUUCAGCGGGGACGAAGCGAAAGUGACGGUACCCGCAGAAGAAGCACCGGCUAACUACGUGCCAGCAGCCGCGGUAAAAC